rnacentral:tRNA from 1 species
GCUUGCCGCCGCCGACGAGCGUGUCUUGGUACUGCAGGCCGCUGGGUGUGGUGUUCAUCAGGUGU